rnacentral:misc_RNA from 1 species
AAAAUGCGAUAAGUAAUGUGAAUUGCAGAAUUCAGUGAAUCAUCGAAGCUUUGAACGCAAAUUGCGCCCGCCAGUAUUGUGGCGGGCAUGCCUGUUCGAGCGUCAUUUCAACCCUCAAGCCCAGCUUGGUGUUGGGACUCGCGAGUCAAAUCGCGUUCCCCAAAUCGAUUGGCGGUCACGUCGAGCUUCCAUAGCGUAGUAGUAAAACCCUCGUUACAGGUUAUCGUCGCGGCCACGCCGUUAAACCCCAACUUCUGAAUGUUGACCUCGGAUCAGGUAGGAAUACCCGCUGAACUUAA